ensembl:lncRNA
CUUGACGAUGAGAAAAGUCUUGCCAAGAAAAGGCAGAGCAUCUUUGGAUACAAGGGUGGAGAAAGCGGGAUCCCAUGGCCCCUGUCAGAUUGUAUGAUAACAGAUCUGUUAAGCUGAUCUCCGCCUCCAACUGUGCAGUUGAACCUCAAGGCAAAGCUUGAUGCUGAAGCAAAUCAGACCAGGCCACGAAUUGUGAAGGAGUACGAGACAUUCAUGGGGGGGACAGACCUCCUAGAACAUAAACCUUAAAAAUUGUAUUUAAAUUGAAAUCUAUGUUGCUCUGAGAUCUCAUGGUGGACAGCAGCUUAUUAUAUCAGUUUUUGAAUGGGGGGGCGCCCCCCUUGAAAGGUUGCAAACCUCAAAUGAUCAAGUUCUUUAUAAAUUAAAUAUUCAUUGGACUAAUUACAACAAUCACACACAUAGGUGCACACACACACUCCAUCAGCUGCUCAUCAUUUUUACAGGUGUGGUUCCCCACUCCGCCCCGGCUCAAAACAACCAAUCGACAACAAAAACUGAGUGCUACUGUGUUCGGUUCCCUUUCGUCAUACUACACCAUCCAUCAGGGAGCUGUCAGAUAUGACCUUCAACUUGAAAAAGAGAGGCAGAGAGAGAGACGGACGGACGGAGGAAUAAAUCAAGCAACAAAGAGAAAAAGAGGGAGAUGUGUGGAGAGGAGAAAAGAUGGAGAUGGAUAAAGUAGAUUGAUCUACAGUGGAAACGGAACGACACAGCGAGACGUGAUGAGCAUUACAUCGGUGUCCUGCUGAGAUUAGCAUGCUGACACCCAUAUUGAAUUUACACUGGAGUUGUGCCUGUCAUGUGUCCGCACACUUUUGGCCCUCAUGGGGCAUCACGCAGGCUCACAUUCAAUUUAAACUUGACACGAUUUACCAUUUUUCUCAUUAAUACCUCUGCUGUCAGAUUGGACGUGAAGGCUCACUCCGGUGGCCAGCGGAAGAGAAGAAAUGACCCUCUGGUUGCACGUUAUCUGCUCUGAGCUGUUUUAUUGCAUUCAGACUGGAUCUUUACUGCGCGAGGGAAAGGGAUUCCUUAUUUGACAAAGAAAAAAAAGACAAGAAAGCUUUAUUUAUGAAACCGUUAAUUGUUGCUGAAGUUUGGAGCACUCCUCAAACAUGUCUGGGAGAGUUCUCUUCCAAUCAGCUGUUUAAGCUUCCUGACCGAACUGAGAUCAGAUUAACAUCCUUAGCAGCUGUAACUGCCAGCAUGGACACCUCCAUGUUCCAAUCUGAGCAAAACACCAUUUUGUUUGGGGUUAUUAACUAAAUAACUAGAAUUUAUGUAAAUAUCAUAACUUUUAUUACUUUUUUUAUGAAGAAAAAAAAACAAUCACAAUAGCUUUUGGGUCCUCGGUCUCUAUCAUUUUACAGCACUGUUAAUUGUUCCAUUAGUCCGACAAAGCAAAAGAACUGCACUCCCUUAUUUUGGGCACAAAUGUAGGUCACAUGCCUGUGCUCUCUUUAGAAAAGCCUUUAUCACUAAACAAUUUACUAAAAUAAACUAUAGAAAGGACAUGAGGAGGAGGAGUGAAAAUUAGGAGGGCCAUAAAUAAAUGAACACUUUAUAACAGUAUUUGUGUCAUGUGUGGGAGUAAGUGAAUAUUACUGCACCAGGUAAAAGCCACCAACUACUGACAACCAUUUAGAUCACCGAGAGAAUGAAUAGCCACACACCGGUUUAGUUUAGUUUUCAGCUACUAUUAUAGUCAUUACUUUAUCAUCUUCAUCAGUAUAAGUCAACACCUUUUAGUGUUAUAAAGAUGUUGUAAAAUGGGGAAGGGGAUUAAGGUAAACACAUUUUCCAUCGUUCUCUUUGCUUUUGGGAAAACUCUAAAUGAAAGUAGCAGUUCUACUGUUCGUAGUUUGUAAUUUCACCCCAACUGAGUAAAAAAUAAAACACAUGCCAACAAAGUGUGCAGCACUGCAAAGGAAUUUACAUUUUGCUGAUAAGAAGGACCACCUGGGGACCAAAGAAAGAAGUUCAGUCAACCACUGUAGCAUUUCAUGUGAAGGGAAUGUUUUCAGUAGAAAGCUGCAGAGCUACAACACAUCUCCCCACAGCCAAUCUGAGAAUCUCUGAAAAUAAAAAAGAAUGCAGGCGAGGCCAGUGAGCUGGUUUUGAUGGACAGAUGGAUGAAGAAACAGAUGGUCAAUGGAUGGCGGGAUUGAGUGUGUAGCUCCAGGCAGAGGGAGUUUAAGCCACGGAUUAAUUAUUUUACCAGACAAGAUGCGAGUUUCCACGGGAAUGUAAAUCACACAUUAUGAUCUGGAUAUUUGUUACGGCCUCUUACCUGCUCAUCUGUCGCUCGAGCGGGGGCGUUGUUACAUAACAAGCAUUUAUGUGUAACAAGUACCGCUUCUGGAAUUUAUCUGAAGGUCUACUCCACCAAACAAAACAUCUAACAACUGCAUUGCACAUCAAACUGUUCAAAAAACACGUAUUUCUGCAUGCUGGCUUGAAAAGAUUGCAUAAAUUUGUUGAAAAUAAGCCAAACUGGCAACGGCUGUAUUUCAAAAUGGGGACGGAAAACCCCCAAACCGAAGGCUUCAAAAUGGCACUAAUCAAACAAAUGGGGAAUGUCCUGAUGACUUCUUAGUGUACACUGUAUGGAGUAGUCAGAUGUUUGUUUCCUUUCAGCAGGUUCCAAAACUGAUUCAGAGGUAGAACUGACUUCAAGGAUGCAAAGUCUUUUCCAUUAAUCACAUUUUCAGCUUCUACUCAGUUAGAUGCAUAUGACUCGCGCUUGAGGGCAGUUGAGUCUUUCCCAUGUUUGUCUGAAAUGGGAAAGGCAGCCAACAAAAUGUGCCACAGGUAGAGGAGGGUGGAAAACACAUCAGAGCGGGAUGCUGAGAAAAAGUGUGAAGGUGAGAUGCAGUCUCUCUGCUAAUGGGAAGUGAAGGACUCGGUAAUGCUGUUCAUAGGAUGAUCGUCGCCACAAAACAACGCGUCACUCCAGUCGCAUUAACACAUUUCCUCCUUUUAUCACAAUCAAGCACCAGGUGGAUUCUCUCCUGGCUUCAUUCUCUGUCCGUGCCAACCUGUCUGCCAGUUUGCUUGUAUAAGCAAGCCUGUCUCUUGUUUACUGUGUGAGUAGGCCUUUGCCAGAGCAGGCCGGAAAGAAUCAACAAAGACUGCCAAAAGCACAGACGCCCCUCCUUUUCCCCAAAUCCUGCUCCCUCUUAAGAUCACAAAUGUAUUUCAGCCUCAUAAAUUAAAAGUAGUAGAAACUUUGUAAUUUUAGGGCUCAACAGAAAGAGCAACCAUCGGUAACCAUUUUGAGAAAUUUUGGCAACCACUUUAUUGUCCCGUUUAAUGUCCACUUAUUUAGUGGUAUAUUAUAUGUCUAAAUAUUUAGACAGUAAACAAAACACAAGUUUAGUUCAAUAUUUGUUGCACUACAAUUUUGCUAUAUACAAUAAAAUGUAUUUCUUUCAUUUAUAUUUUUAUAAAGUUGAUGUGACUGUGGCAUUUCCCAAUUAUUUAAAAUAUAUGGUGAUUAAAUGAAGAUCAUAAUCCCAGUUUAUGUAACAAACAGCUAAUGCAUGGCAACCACACCACCAUAAAGUUACUGUUGAGGCCUGCAUUGUUGAUAUUUCUAUUAAUAUUAUUAUAUUUCAAUAUAAUAAAACCAGUAGCAAAUUAUAGAUGCAACAAAAAACUGCACGGUUAAUUAUUGAAAGAAUUACGUAUAAAUCAAAAUAUGUAACAACAAAGCAGAAGAAGCACUAAACUGCAAAAGCUUUUAUUCUUGUGGGGUUCCAAAAGAUCUUUGCAAUCAAAUUGUGAUUUUAAAAAUCAAUUAUAGAUCAUAUGGAUAUGGUUAUAUCCGUGGACUGAAACUACAUUAACAAGAGUUACAUAUUUAAUGGAAUGUACUAUCGGUAUUCUCUUCUCAAGGUCAGAGGUCGGGGUCAGCGGACUAACAGUAACGGGUGAAAGUGGAAGUAAUUCAGAUGUCUGGCUCAAGAACACUUCAGCAGGCCAGGUUGCUGACGACAUGUUGAGAGUUGGACCUGCAGAACACAACCUUCUAGCUCAUUUCAUCUCAUUAUAUAGGGAAGCUCAAACACGGACCAAUGGAACUGAGAUUUUCUGCUGUGUUUACAUCCGUCGAGCGUAAAUGUACCUCAACACGCAGUGAAGCCACUUUCUAUUACAAUGUGCCUGGGAACCCGAAGACGUCUAAGGAGCUGUCCCAGGCCUGUAGACCAGUCCACUUUUCAACUGUAAGUGCUCUCCAUGGUUCUGAAACCACCCAGAGCUCACUGUGGUUCAACGACAUUGCUAGAGAUCUCAAACCACAUCCAUUCACUCCAUCCCAUCAGAAACAUUGGCUAACCUCGUUACCGGCACGCUUUACAUUGUUAGACUGCUCUUUGGACUCUAGGCUGUCUUUAAGUAGCUUCCCAUGGUCCUGAAUGAUGGUCAACUUGUUUGAAUCUAUUCACAAUCCACAAGCAGCUUGUCCAAAUACUUGUAUUUACCAACUACCCCUCUUCUCCCACAUCAUCUCCUCUGCCUUUCUCUUUUAUUUUUAGGCAUCCUCUGUUGGGAGAUAGGGGAUGGUCCCCCCCACCCUCUCCUCUCUGGUGUUCUCAUCUCCAAGCCUCCUGCAUAAUAGAUGUGGCUGUAACGCCAGUCAACUGGAGCGGCAUGAUGAGGCAGCUUUAGAAACAGAGAGAGAGAGAGAGAGAUCCCUCUGGAAUGGGUUAUAUUACUGCGCUUCAACCAAAGCGCGUGAACGGACGCCCCCGUAGAUGCGCGCGCAUUGGCCUGAUGCGCGCACGCACACAUUCCCAUAGAGGAACAGCGGGGGCUGUCAGCAAAGCCAAGAAAAAAAAGCAUCGCAGUACAGAAGUAAGAUGAAAAAUAACAACGAAGUCUUCCACUGUCUGAAGCAGCAGAGAGGAACACCGCAUGCGAGGGGCUGUGCGCUACGUGUUUUUGGAAAGCUUUAAAUAAAUCACCCGCCUGAGAGGAUGGAAGAGUCCACCAACAGUGCCAGCGCACUGGCACAAACAGAAAAAAACAGAAGAGCAGUCAGAGAGGGAGCGGGAUUAAGUCCGAGCACUAAUCAGAUUACAGAGAUGAUUCAUUUCCUGGACACUAAGAAUAAAACUCCUGUUGGCACUGCAGCGAGCCUGGCAUCCCUUUGGCAAAGAGGAAAAAAGCAACUGCAUAGCAGAGCUCGGUCGCCAUCUCACACACCCUGCGUUCAAUGAGCCUUACCUUCAUCGAUCUCUCCACCUUCUCUCCUCUCAGUUUGCGUCUUUUUCACCAGAAUCCCUUUAUCUUCCUCUUCCUCCUCUCCGUCAGCUAGCAGAUGAGUUUUAAAUCACAACGAGAAGCCCCUUGACAGGCGUUAAAAAGAAAAGAAAAAAGGUGAUCAGGUUCGGCUGCUUAUCCCAACUCCUGCGCUCCUCUACCGCGCGACUCCUUUCCCGUGCACAUACGAGCAGAAGGAAGCUCUAUUGGUAGUUUUGCUGGGAGCUGAAUAGACGGGACUGUGUUUGCGUGUGCGUGCGUGUGUUUGUGUGUGUUGGGACUGGGUGGCAGCAGGAGAGGCGGAAUUACCGGCACAGACGUGCGCGCAUUCGGGCAGCAGAGAGAGGAAAAGAGGGCGAACCGGCCAUCCAGGUGCCGGUGGUCCUCACUGUGCAGACCCACGACAAGCGUUCAAGUGCACAUCCACAAACGAUGGGGGCGGGUGGAGGAUGCGCAUCUCAAUUCCCAUUUAAAAACACACAUUAACGUUAAUAUAUAUCGCGCGUGAUCGCUCUAAACCCCAAAUAAGAAACUACACCCACCGAUGCGCAGGGUGUCCUUGAGUGCAAAUUACGUUUCAAAUAUCCGAGCAUCAGUCUGCGGAAUUUGAACGGGGGGGGGGGUCCUCCAGAAUGUGCAGCUAUCCGUCCAGAUUGGGCCAAAUAAAACUAUUUCGAUUCCCCUACACCCCGUCCAAAAAAAAAAGAUAUUCCCGUAAUGCGCGCGGCUUCCCCCCGUCAGCGCGCGGGGGGUCUGGCACCUGUCCGAAACCUAGAAAGAAUAUGCAAUCCGGGUCCGGCAGACUCGAAGCGGGUCAGGGCGGUGUCUAGCUCCGUCCUCCGUCAGCAAUUAUAACUCGCAAGACUGACAAACAACUCUGAUAAUAAUCCACCGAGGAGUCCUGGAAAUGAUUAUUUAGGAUGGUAAAAUAAUUGCAUGGCGUGGCGUGGCCAAUAACGAUGGCGUGGCAACGACUGAAGCUCUACUUACAACUCCCCGUGAGAGCGUGCACGCUUGUGCAUACCGAAACUCGCCGGUUUUUGGAGAGAAAAAGAGAAGAAUCGCCACCCGUUGGGAGGACGCAGUAAUCCGCACCGAGGCUCGGCCGCGUCACUCUGUCCGACAGCGGUCCUACUUUGUAGGGUGUUCCGCCCGCUACGUCCACGAUCCCGUCUUUCAGUGGCAGACGGUUCAGGUUUGACUUCGUGCAGGAGAGAUUUCAGCGGGUUUUCCUCGCUGAUUGGAGGCAGCUUGUAGGUGCACUUGGCUGCAUGACUGGUGGUGGAAGGGAGGGGGCUGUGCAGUGUGUACGGGAGGCUGCGCGAGGGUUUCCAACAGAAAAGACACACCCAUACGGCCUGUCAGCUUCCAUCUAUCCAUCUGUCUAACCAUCACAUCUCGUCAUCCAUCUGAAAAUCUAUUUUUCUCUCAUUAACCAUCAAUACAUUGUUGAUUAUGUUUUGCGUUUUAAAGAUUGACAGAUAUUGUAGAUACACAAAAAAAAACUUCUGUCAACUUAAAUUAUCUCGUCCCCCUAAUUAGGACAUUCUUGUGAGGCUGUCAGUGGCAUAUAUUAAUAAGGUCAGUUUGGCGUUAUGUACACAGAUUUCAAACAGAUUUGUUUCACAUUACAACACUACCUCAACAUACUAAGUGGCUGCACAAGAGCACGUUUUCCAUGGGCUCAAACCACAAUGAACUAGCGCAGUUAAAAGACACACUGACAUUCUACUAAUGUGUCAGCUCCUCUUGUGAACUGGCAACGGACACUUCCACAUAUCUUCUGAAAGUAUUAUACUGCAGGAAAACUAAACUUGCCAUGGCAGUUACCCUGAUCUACUGGUAUUCACAAUGAAAUUGAAGGACAGAUUUUGAGGUGCUGAGGAGAUUUUUUCUGAACUGGAAUUUAGAAUUCCACGCAUUUUCACUUUACAGGCAAAGAUGACUGCGUGCGAGCGUGUACAUUCCCUUAACUUAUAGCGGAAUACUAAAAAUGAACUUGAAUAGUUAAAACACUGAAUGUAUGUCCCUAUUUUGAACUGACAUUGCCACAAGUUCUAUGAAUCUCUUUUUAAGAUGCAACGGUGACUUAAAUGCAUAUUGCAGAAACUGCAUGUCGCGGUAACAAAGCUAACGUUGGUAGCUCUUUUGACAUAGGACUGUACAGAGAACAUUGGCUGUCUAGUAAAAAUAACACUUACCUGAUUAGGGGAAACUUCAGGUUGACAAGUAGUUUGAGAAUCUCUUCGGCUCAGUUAAAUUUGCCUUCACACAAGAUGUCCGACCACCACGCCCGCUUUUAGUGCCGACUCCAACUCAGAAAUCACGUACAAGACACCAAGGCGCAUGCGCGCAGUCGUAAAAGGUUUUCGUAAAAUAAAAAAAAUGGGGCUCAACUCAUAAAUGCUUGUGAACUGAAAAUACUUUUUAGGGCAACGUCAGGUUUGUUUGGCCUGACACGUUUUUUGUUAGUUGUUUAUGGCAAAGCUUUGUUUUUGAGUCAGAUCAAUUAGAAAACCUUUAUCAGAUCAACAAUUGCUAGUUGUUGUUUUAUAAGUGUAGAUUGAUGCUUGAUGUGUGGACGGAGAGAGAUGAUAACUAUAACUUGUGAAAAACUUUCUGAAAAACAAAAGUUUACUCAUCCGUAGUUUGCAUAGUUUACUAUAUACAACACAAAUAUUACUGUAUUAACAGUGUUUCUCCUAGGAUUCCUCCUUCGGGGGGGUGCCAUUUUUUUGAAUCGCAGUGAAAGGACGACUCGGACCACCUUCAUUGGGGCCACACAGGAAUAGUAAACAUAACAAACAAAGAGGGCAAGGAAAGAAAGCGUUUUAGGGUAGCAUGAGGGUGAUGGGUUGGCUGCUGUCACCAGCCUGGCCAUGAAUUAGAAUUAGUUCAGUCGGGGGGGGGGGCAUUGUGCGUGGGCUGAAUGCUGGAUAUUGCGUCGCUAUGUGUUAAGUGGAAACGUGCUGCGCAUCUCUCAGUGUGACACCGAUACCGCCUCACAUGAGAGAGUGUGAGCAGAAACAUGACAAUGGAGGACAAGUGAUUAGCCGUGAUGGAUGAGUUGUGACUCUGUGAUAAAAGCCAUGGGUGUGCGGAAUAUUGAGAGCCUGGUAUGCACACACACUAUAAAACAAGUGAGAGAGAAUGUUCAGAACAUUACAAGCCUGCACACUGACAAUAUGGUAAAGUUUAAUAAAAACGUGUAGUUAUGAAUCUAAACUUGCCCUCCAACAAACUUAACAUUAGCGGUGAACAAAAAACAGUCUCUGACAACAGACUAGAAGAUAUGAACACUCACUCUUAUAGUUAUAGUAUAGUUCUGGCUCAUGUAUAACCGUCGCUGAGACGUGAAAACCAGCAGAGCAUUUCACAGAAGACUUGCCUAAAACAGGCUGCUCCCUGCGGGCCGAGAUGAGGCCGACCGCCCGCUGCUGGAGAGCUCUGGCGGUCCCGUUAACUACACCUCACAGUACUCGGGCUGCGACUGAUGACAUUUCACGAGUCCACGAGAACACAAGUCUAGACAAGAACGCAUGUUGAGUCUUAAAGAUUCUCCCUGUCUCAAACGCACACACACACACACACACACACACACACACACACACACACACACACAUACUUUGGAUUCCACCAGCUGGUAAUGGGAUAUAUGAAAAAGAUGGGUAGACCAAAUCUCUCUAAUGUUUCUCUAAAUAACACACGCACACACUCAGUGGAUAAUCUCUGACCCUACAUGGACACAUGUUCCAACAAAAUGCAUAGAUUAAACAUACGUAUGCGUUGGAUUGUAAACAUGAUGAAACAAUGUUAUUGUUGAGCCUCCCACCCUAAAUACCUCCAACAGACAGACACACUGUUUGAUCAGUUUUUUUGCGGUCUGCGGUCCUGGUGUCAUCAGAGAGCUCAUUCCACCAUUUAGGAACCAGGACAGCAAAGAGUUGUGAUCUUGUCAAGUGUUUUACUCUCAGUGAGGGAGGAACAAGCAGUUUGGCAGAUGUAGAGCAGAGUGUGCGGUUUGGAAUGUAGGGUCCGCACAAAACUUCACAAAACCACUGCAGCAGCUGAUUUCAUGGAAUGAAAAACCAAACAAGGAAAUUACCCACUGGAGUAAAUUAAAGUCUAUAAAAAAAAGCAUCUAUCUAAAAUGCAUUUCCUGCUGAAAAUGCGUUGGAAUGCAAAAUGCUGAAACCUGAAAUGAACUUGAUGAAGAAAGUUGAAGGGAAUUUUUAUACAUUUGCUGAAAAUACAGAUAUUAGAAAAGCUGAAAUUAAUUUGAAAUUGCUGAAAAUACAGAAAUGGGAGAAGCGGAAAGGAAUUUCCACAGAUUUGCUGAAACUAAAGAAAUGAAACAACUAUAGAAGAAAGAAUAUCAAAAAUUGAUGAAAGUACAGACAUCAGAAAAGCUGAAAUUCAAUAGAUUUGCUGAAAAUACACAGUUGAGAAAAGCUUAAAUAUAUUACAAGAAAUUGGUGGAAAUACAGAAAUGGAAGAAUCUGAAAUGGACUAAAAAAAUAUUGGAAUAAAAAAUACAAGAAAAAAAUUAAUUUAUAAAUUUAAAUAUUGCUGAAAAUUCAGAAAUGACAAAAGCUGAGUUGAGUCUUAAAAAAUAUAAUACUACUAUAUAAUAAUACUACUAAAGUAAUAUUAGUAGCAAUUGUAAUUUUGGCAGUAAUAAUAUAUUAUUAGAAUAAGUAGUAGUUUUAGUAUCAAUAGCAGUAGAAAAAUAGUGUUAGUAGUACUACUAGUUGUAUCAUUUGUAGUACUAAACUGUUAGUCAUUGUAGUAUUUGUAGUAAAAUGAGUAGUAGUUGUGGUAUUAAUAGCAGUAUAAAUACUGGUAGUAUGUUUUCUUAUAGUAGUAAGAGUAGUAAUAUCAGUUGCCGAGUCACUGCUACUGGUAGAAAUAGUAUUUUUAGUACAACUACUAUUAGUAUUAGUAGUAGUAAGAGUCAUUUAGUAUUAACACCAGUUGAAAUACUAGUAGUAGUAUUAGUAAUGGUAGUAGCAGUAUUAGUUGAAGUAGCACUACUAGUUGUACUAGUGAUAUUAGUAGUUGUUGGGUGUGGGGGGGCAGAAUGUUAGUCCUUCAAACUAUUAUUCGAUAGACCUCAUUACAAACACUAUAGUAAAAUUCCCUCCAUGGGGGUUAUAUUUUAAAAUGUUACUGGUUAAUGUUACUUUUAAAAGGCAUUGGGGAAGGUAGAAGGAGAGAGCACACUAGAGAGAGCAAAGGUGAAAGAGAGGGAUGAAGGAAGAGAGAGAAAGGGAGAGAAAGUGAGGAAGGGAGAGGGAGGAACGGAGAAAGAGAGGGUGAGGAAGGGUGGAAUGGUGAGAAAAGGAGAGGGGGGGAUGGCAGGAGAGAAGAAGAAAUAAUGAGGAGGAAGAAAGAGGGGAAGAAUGGAAAUAGGAGAACAAAAGAGAGGAGGAGGAAGGAAGAAAGAGGGCAGGAAUGAAAAGAGGAUAAAAAGAGGGUAAGGAAGGGAGAGGGGGGAAAGAGGGAGAGAAAGAAAGCAGAGGAGGAAGAGAAAAGAGGAGGAGAACGAAAGAGGAAGAGGGAGGAAUGGAAAGAGGGUGAGGAAGGGUGGAAUGGUGAGAAAAGGAGAGGGAAGAAUGGAAGGAGAAGAGAAGAAAGAAAGAUGAGGAAGAAAGAGGGGAGGAGGAAGGAAGAGAAAGAGGGGGAGAAAGAAAGAGGCUGAGGAAGGGAGGGGGAAGAGAGGGAGGAAUGGAAGAGGGGGAGGAAGGGAGAGGGGGGAAAGAAAGAGGGGAGGAAUGGAAAAAGAGGAGGAAGGGAGAAAGGGGAGAAAGAAAGAGGGGAAAAGAGGAGGAGGAAGGGUGGAAUAGUGAGGAAGGGAGAGGGGGGAAAUGGAAAGAGUGGAGGAGAAAGAAAGAGAAGGAGGAAGAAAGAGAGAGGGAAAGCAUAUCUGUGUUCUGUGACUCCACUAAUCAACUAUUAUGGAUCAGCUGUGUGACACAAACUAACCAACUGACAAACUGCAGCGUGUGUGCUGGUAUCCACGGUAACGGAGCACCUGCUCAAAAGGACAGACAGGACAGCGAGUUACACAGAAUCCACACCUCAAACAAGUUGUCCACCAGCGCAAAACUAUAACAGCUAUAUAAAAAAUACAACGUUGUUACGCAGGGAGGUUUUUUUUUAUGUCUGUCCGGUAAUAAAUACGGCUCCUGUCGCAGUUUACAAAACGUGUACCUUCUGGAUUUUUUGAGAAAUAUGUUGGCAGAUUUGUAUUGGAGCCUAUGUGGCUUUUAGCAGAGGUUGUGUGACUGUUGGUCUCCGUAGGCCAAAACUAAAGAACUCUGGGAUUCCAUAGCCACAUGACUACAAGCAGCACAACCAUGCCAUCAUGUUAAGCUAAAAAUGAAGCCUCAAAAAUGUAUACUUUGGCUCUGAGGACCGAAGUUCCAUAUUUUUUUAACCAGAUUCUGACGCUGCCCCACACUCUAGCAUCUCCAGGUCUCACUCUAAGAAACGCAACGGAGCGAAGAACUAGUGAAACAUAAACAGUGAUUAUGAAAAAAGUAGAAUAGAUAACAAGCAGUUUUUUUCAUAAAAUAGUUGAGACUUUUAAGAGGAUUUGAACACGAUCUCAAUUGGAAAACCAUUAGAAGAAAUAUUCAUGAUUACUGAUUUAUAUAAAUUCAAGCUUAAGAGGUAGAAAGCUGAAAAGUCAUAGCUGGAAAGCCAGAAAGGAGUUGAAUAUUUUAAUAUUGGAACGGUUUUAAUAGCUGAAAGUGUGAAGGAGUUGAAAGGUGCGACGGAAGAAAUAGAAGAAGGCGGAAUAAAGAUUCGAAGAACAAUACUUUUGCUUAAUGCAUUCCAACAAUAAUGAUAUGUGAAGAUUGAGGCCAUAAUUAGCUGGCCAUAAAAUAACAACCUGCUCUAUCAGUGGCCCUGAUUGACUCCUGUUAUUCUCCCAACAAAACAACCGAUAGCAGGAUCGUACAAUUCUAAUAAUAGUAAGCAGCUGGGACAUGGGACAUGGAAGAGCUGGGGUUUUGAACCACCAACCUUGUGGUUCCCAGCGCAGCCUCUCUACUCUAGUGUUUUGAUGGCUGAGAUGAAGGGAGGAGCAGAGAAGUUGUUGACUUUGAGGUGUUGCGAGGUGGAGUAUUGCAAAACCAUACCAGCUGGGAGGAUGUAAGCCUGGCGCUGGCGACAGAUUUGUUGACAGGAAUUGUAAACGGGCACGUCAGGAUGAUCCACAGCAGACAGGUGAUCAAUGGAAGCUGUUCAGUCAGCUGACAACGUUAGCUAGAUGCUGACCAGAGGGCGGUUAGCCAACAGCUAGCUGGAAAAGCAGCAGUCAGACUGCACAAGGACAGCUGAGAGGCUAACCAGGCAACCCCCAGGGAUAGCAGUAGCAAGAGCGAGUUAGAGUAUUCAGCAAGGAGCUUGCUGGCUCGUCGGUAGUCGCCCUGCUAGCGAGAGACUGAAAGCUAGCCAGCUAGUUGUCCAGGGAGUAGACGGUAGCAGGUGAGAGCAGGUGCAACAGGUAAACAGCAACCAAAGCGAGGCGUUGCAGUAUAAAUAAAUAAAAGAGAUGACAAUGUCCAUGUAUGGUGGCCAUGGUACGGUAAUUACAUUAAACUAAAAUGUAGGUUAAAUUGUGAAUUUGGUAGAAAAAUCAGGUAGAAAAAUCCAAAACUGGAGCAGCGUUGGACUCGCCUGCACCCCCGCUCUUGACGAACUAAACAAAACUACAGAUGUGGGCAACAAUAAAAAGGUCAGGAGGUCAGGCUUAUGAAUUCUGAUCGCCAGUUCUAACUGAAACAUCAGACCCAGUAGUGGAUACCUAUCUUAUGAUAGAGCAAAAUAUGAUGAAUUUAAUAUGAAAUUCAUCAUAGUUUGCUCUAACAGACCAAGCCACAAUCGUUUAAUCAAUUUUACCAUAAUAUAUCAAUGUCGAAUACGAACCCUGUCAUAGCAAGAAAAGUGAUUCUCAGUAAUAUCAUUUUGUUUUCCUUUGUUCGUCUCCACUUGUCUAAUUACAGUUCAAGUAAUUUGCCAUGAGGACAGCCCAGUAAAACUAAAGUACCCGCACUUCAGCAAAUUUCUAAUUUGGCUAACAAGCAAUACAUUUGACUUAGACAUCUCCUCAGUCGCCCUCUGAGAAAUCAUCUCACACAGAUGCCAUCUGAAUCUAAACACCGUUUUCUUGCCUUCCUUAUUAAAAAGCUCCUGCUGGCUUGCUCCCAGAUGGAUUGCCUCAAUGACAGAAAAAAGGUCUGUAGUUCUCUUUUCCUUUUAUAAAUAAAUGAAAAUCUAACCACAUGACACUUCAAUGUGUAGUCCGUAGUUGGAUAAACAAACUUGAUUGUUUGUUUGAACGGACAUGAUUUUAUUAUUUUCUGAUCCGCCGUUUUGGUGGUUAAGAUACUGAAAGGCAAACGUGUUUGUUAAAAUGAACAGAGUCUCAAAAAGUAACUUUUUUUGUUGUGGAGGAAAUGAUGGCAGUUCAAUCAAUAACUUGCAAGUUCUGAUUCCAUCAUGAAGUUACCUGACAAUGAUGAAACAGAUCUUUUUUGGCCUCUGUAGACAUAACACUGAAACAUGUGAUUACAAGAAGACCAGAUAUGACCUGAGGUGAUCCAUCAGAAGAGCUAAGAGAGAAUACAGACUGAAGAUUCACUGUCAGGGGAUGCGGGGAAGGCAGGACUCAAAUGCAGAGUUUAAAGCAAUAAAGACUUUAAUAGUCAAAAUUCAAAAAAGCAAAAGGCCAACGGGCAAAAACACACACACAGGAACAGGGGGCAAAAAGGCAGGCAGGAGCGAGGAACAUCCAGGACGAUAGACAAUGACACGGCAAGUGACAAGAGACACUCACUGCUUAAAUACACUAGGGAGGUGCAGGUGAUUGGACACAGGUGGAAACAAUCAUGGGCACGGCAGACAAUCGCAAGGGACAACAAGGCAGGAAGUGAAUCUAACUCAGGUUCACAAGACGCAUGAAACUACAAAAUAAGACAGGACGUAAACCCAAACCGUGACGCAAAGCAAUCCCAUACAAUGGACUUUGGUUUUAUUGAUCACAUAAACAAUUGAAUUAUUCCUGAAGAUUCUGCCCACUGCCUCUGAAAGUAACAGCAAUGAUCAGUGAGUAUGCCAAAUAAAGCGGGAACAUUAAAAAGAAAAAAUACACAAAAAUAAUUGGAUUCUAGGGAAUAAUUUUCAAACUGUAGAUUUACUGUUUUCAUAGUGGCACAAACCUAACCAUGUUGCUAAUAUUGCAGGCUGCGGCCUAUCACUAUACCUUUCUCAUCAGCUGGGGUCACGUCAGGUAGCAGAGAGCUAUGUAGAAGCUUGCCCUUGAUUCAAAUUACCAAUAACCAUCCAAAAUGAAUGAAAUUAAACCAGGAAUUUUAGGUCUGACAACACUGAUCGACCGGGUGAGCUCAAGCAGAGGCAAUUUUGACUUUUUUGACAUUUCCUCAAAGCCUGAGAUGGUGAUCCUGUAAUUGUGGUGAUACUGCUAUUUGGUGCCGACGUACCUCAUUUGGGAUUACCCCAUUAUGUACAACAAAAACAGGGAAAUGAAUGGAGUAAUAUAACCCAAGUAAAGAGGAAAGUGCAAGCAAGAAAAUCUAAGGAGGUUCUUCAAAGCAUUCAGAGGUGAUUCUCCAGGGGCCUCAUUUAUAAACGUUGCGUACGCACAAAAGAAGGCGUACGCCGCUCUCUACACAAUAAUUGGUAUUUAUAAAAGCAAACUUGACGGAAAAAUGUGCGGUCCUUCACGCAAGCUCGGACCCAUGCGUACGCACAAAAACGGGUGAAAUGAGAACCGUCGGCAAAUGCAAGAAACACGCGAACGUGUGUGAAACUGUAAAACUAGACUGUUGUGUAAGAGAAAUGCCAAUACUGCCUCUCAAAAAUAACACAAACACCCGUUUGAUCGAUCUGCAGCAUAAAACAAACAGAAAUACAAAUUAACACAUUUUCAAAAAGAACAGUGAAAUAUGUUCUGCAAUAAUAUUGGCUUGUUAUGCAAUUCAUCCUCAAAACACAGCUGUUGCUUGUCAGAUGCAAUCAGACGGACGGUAAUAAAACGCCAUGAUGCCGUCACAAUGCGUAAUGACGCGAAAUGGCUGAUCUUGCGCUCUUAGAAGAUGUGGCACAUGGAAGGAUUCGCGCUGUAGUGCAGCGCACCAUCGGCUUGUUUAAGGGCAGAUGUUGCUGCCUCGACUGCACUGGAGGGAGGUUAUUGUCUACUCCUGAAAAAGUGUGCAAAAUCGUGCACACCUUGGCGAUGGCGCGCUAAACGCUUUUUUGCAUCCACUUUGAUGUCAGACCAUAUUUUCUUUAUUUCGGCCACGGUCCGAGGUUGUGAGGCUGCAGCGUUGCUCUGCAACCUUUUGCCUCUCAAGUGCCUUUUUGGCAUUAGUAAUGCCCAUACUGUGCCCUCCAAAAAACAUUUUACUUCUCCUUUCCACCUCCCAAUGAUCAUUUCGACUUCACACGGAGUGAAGUUACGUUUCUUCGUUUUCCUCUCAGUGUUUGUCAUGAUUUCGCAAUCGAAUCGAUGAAUAUUAAUUUGUGGCCGUUCCACAGACUAUAUAUGGGCAACUAUGGGCGUGACAUGAAGCCGCAAAAACUGCGCUGCAUUUAGAAUU